GCCAAAAUAAAUUGUCGAAUAUGUUUGUUUAAACCAUGAAAGGGAUUGAAAACAGUUUUUAAAACGAAGAUUAUGUUACUUAGAUUUUUAAAAGGAAGGAAUUCAUUUAGCCGCCUAAGACUGCGCAAUAUUGUUUAAUUAAACGGCGAUCUAAACGAUUAUAGAAAAAAAUUCUGUAAAUAAUUUUGAGGUGGAUGGAUUUCCGAGAAAACUUCAAAACUAAUCUAGAUAGUUAACGGCAACGUCGAAUAAGAAUUUGGC